AUUGAACGCUGGCGGCAGGCCUAACACAUGCAAGUCGAGCGAGCGGCGGACGGGUGAGUAAUGUAUGGGGACUGCCCGAUAGAGGGGGAUAACUACUGGAAACGGGGGCUAAUACCGCAUACUAUCGGAUAACCCAUAUGGGAUUAGCGAGUGGGUGGGGUAAAGGCUCACCUAGUCGACGAUCUCUGGCUGGUCUGGGAGGAUGAUAAGCCACACUGGUAUGGAGACACGGCCCAGACCCCUACGGAGGCAGCAGUGGGGAAUAUUGCACAAGGGGCGCAGGCCUGAUGCAGCCCUGCCGCGUGUAUGAAGAAGGCCUUAGGGUUGUAAAGUACUUUCAGCGUGUAGGCGUGACCCGCAGAAGAAGCACCGGCUAACUCCGUGCCAGCAGCCGCGGUAAUAC
rnacentral:rRNA from 1 species